rnacentral:lncRNA from 1 species
UAUGGAAGAAUCCCUUGAGCCCAGGAGUUGGAGGCUGCGGUGAGCUACCAUUGCACCAGUGCACUCCAGCUUGGGUGACAGAGCGAGACCCUGUCUCCAAAAAAAAAAAAAAAAAGAUGAGGAAAUCGCCCGAGGAUGGAUCCGACUCGUGGUUUCACUGGAGCCCUCAUUCUCCUCUUCACUUACCCUCUCCGUGAGGAGGAAGCCAGUGCACAUCAAGCGUUUCAUUUGCAGCACAGACUCUUCUCCCAAACAUCUUUGCAUUCUGCACUGGUGAGGGCCAGUGGUGCCACACCAAUGUCCCAACUCACCUUGGGAACAUCCUUGAGCGCAUUUCUUUUUGUCUAUAGAAGUAAAAGAGUAGAACUGAAUGCCGAAGCCAGCAAGCUGUUGGAACCUUGGAAACGCAGAGGGCAUGAAGGCUGAGUCCGGGGUCCUACAGUCAGAGGCCCGCAUUCAAAUCUUGCC